rnacentral:lncRNA from 1 species
AAAGUUUCUAUAUUUUUGCAAAGGUGGUCAAAGUUUUGAACAAAAGUAGUUCACACACAGAAGAUUUUGAAAAAUGGAGGGAGAGAUUUUGAAAUUAAAGAAAUGGGGAGAAGAUGAAGAGACUAUCCUAUGUACAAAAUUAAAAGUUUAGAGUCGAAAAGAUCUGACCAAAUGGGUAGCAAUCCAAUAGACAAGAAUGUCAAU